GAGUUUGAUCAUGGUUCAGAUUGAACGCUGGCGGCAUGCCUAACACAUGCAAGUCGAACGGUAACAGGUCUUCGGAUGCUGACGAGUGGCGGACGGGUGAGUAAUGCGUAGGAAUCUGUCUUUUAGUGGGGGACAACCCAGGGAAACUUGGGCUAAUACCGCAUGAGCCCUGAGGGGGAAAGCGGGGGAUCUUCGGACCUCGCGCUAAGAGAGGAGCCUACGUCCGAUUAACUAGUUGGCGGGGUAAAGGCCCACCAAGGCGACGAUCGGUAGCUGGUCUGAGAGGACGACCAGCCACACUGGGACUGAGACACGGCCCAGACUCCUACGGGAGGCAGCAGUGGGGAAUUUUUCGCAAUGGGGGCAACCCUGACGAAGCAAUGCCGCGUGGAUGAAGAAGGCCUUCGGGUUGUAAAGUCCUUUCGUGGAGGACGAAAAGGUGGGUUCUAAUACAAUCUGCUAUUGACGUGAAUCCAAGAAGAUGCACCGGCUAACUCCGUGCCAGCAGCCGCGGUAAUACGGGGGGUGCAAGCGUUAAUCGGAAUCACUGGGCGUAAAGGGUGCGUAGGCGGUACGUUAGGUCUGUCGUGAAAUC
rnacentral:rRNA from 1 species